UCUGGUCUUGGGACACUGUCAGGUGGGCAGUUUGACUGGGGCGGUCGCCUCCCAAAAGGUAACGGAGGCGCUCAAAGGUUCUCUCAGUACGGUCGGAAAUCGUACGUAGAGUGUAAAGGCAAAAGAGAGCUUGAUUGCAAGACAUACAGGUCGAGCAAGGAUGAAAAUCGGACUUAGUGAUCCGGUGGUUCUGCGUGGAAGGGCCAUCGCUCAACGGAUAAAAGCUACCCUGGGGAUAACAGGCUUAUCUCCCCCAAGAGUCCACAGCGACGGGGAGGUUGGGCACCUCGAUGUCGGCUCAUCACAUCCUGGGGCGGUAGUAGGUCCCAAGGGUUGGGCUGUUCGCCCAUUAAAGUGGUACGCGAGCUGGGUUCAGAACGUCGUGAGACAGUUCGGUCCCUAUCCGUCGCAGGCGUAGGAAAUUUGAGAAGACCUGUCCUUAGUACGAGAGGACCGGGCUGGACGUACCUCUGGUGUACC
rnacentral:rRNA from 1 species